CCUUGUACACACCGCCCGUCACACCACUGGGAGUUGGUUUUACCUGAAGGACGGUGCGCUAACCCGCAACGGGAAGGCAGCCGGACCACGGUAGGGUCAGCGACGUGGGUG
rnacentral:rRNA from 1 species